rnacentral:rRNA from 1 species
CCUACGGGUGGCAGCAGUGAGGAAUAUUGGUCAAUGGACGAGAGUCUGAACCAGCCAAGUAGCGUGAAGGAUGACUGCCCUAUGGGUUGUAACAUUCUUUUAUAUGGGAAUAAAAUGUUCCAAGUGUGGGAUUUUGUAUGUAACAUAUGAAUAAGGCUCGGCUAACUCCGUGCCAGCAGCAGCGGGAAUACGGAGGAUCCGAAGGUUAUCCGGAUUUAUUGGGUUUAAAUGGGGCGUAGGUGGAUUGUUAAGUCAGUUGUGGAAGUUUACGGCUCAACCGUAAAAUUGCAGUUGAAACUGGCAGUCUUGAGUACAGUAGAGGUGGGCGGAAUUCGUGGUGUAGCGGUGAAAUGCUUAGAUAUCACGAAGAACUCCGAUUGCGAAGGCAGCUCACUGGACUGCAACUGACACUGAGGCUCGAAAGUGUGGGUAUCAAACAGGAUUAGAUACCCUUGUAGUC